rnacentral:misc_RNA from 1 species
UGUCACGUGAACGUUGUCCAGUAAAACGCCAUCGCCGUCAACCGUAUUUGUGAAAGUUUGCAAAUGCGUAAAAUGGAUCGCAGGACGAGGCAACACCUCUUAUAUUUUGACGGAAAUGCAGACGUAACAUUGAUGGAAGUUCAAGCCUUGCAAACAGUAGCAAGUUUUAUAGAUGCUGCAAACAAAAACUACUCAGAGAUGCUCAUACUUGGUGCGAACACACUACAAGAAUUUCUGUCUUCAGAUCCAUUUUAUGAAACAACCGGCCGCAACUCAUCGUCAGGAAUGGAACGUUUAAUGGACAUUAUGGUUAGAACUGCAAACUUUCACCAGCAGGCAUGGUCUGAGGUGGAUGGGCAAAGGCCGUUGGAGAGGGAGGUUCUUCUCUAUGAAGAGUUGAAGAGAAAGUCGAGUGAGUGCUGGAAGCAACACAGAAACCUGGAGCUCACCUGUGAAACUGGCCAGAAGGCUUAUCUGACAGUUCUCCAGAAAUGGCUGGAUCUGCAUGACAAGUCCAAGAAAUACAAAUAUAUGGACUUUGGUGAGAAAAUUGCAACCAUCACUGGGAGAGUUGAUGUUGCUUUGACCAAAUAUCAGUCUCUCUAUACCAAAGAGGCCAAACACAGGGAGGUUCUGGCACAGGACACAGAGGAAUUGAAAUCUGACUUCAUGAAACAGGAGACGGAAAAAUUGGAGUUAAUGUUUGACAUUCUCAGUGAUCUGUUGUCAAAGAUGGAAAAGGUUGCACCACAGGGACUUGAUGACCUGCUGUUCCUGAAUUUUGGGCCAGAGGAACCAGACAUUGACAUGAUGACGACUGAAGGAUGGAAGGCUCAUCUGCAAAAGUACAUGUUCCAAAAAUACAGGGGACCCGAAGGAACAGAUCCACGGAGUCCUCAGCCUAUCCUGAAGGAGGGAGAUUAUAAGAAAACUAAGCUGUGUCCUACAAAUAUCUUCUGUGUUGUAUCUGAUGCAGAGGAAUCGGACACAGAUUGUAUUGAGGCUCAACCUGGUGCUGCAAAGUCCCUUUCAAACUCUAAAAUGACAUCCAAGAUUAAGGUUGCUGAGAACAAACCUCACAGUUCCAAAUAUAUGUUGCCAAAACGCGCUGCUCGCACCACACCUGUCACCUCAAGUGAAAAUCUUAUGUCUGAGACAGUUAUCAAGGAACCAACUGGUCCUAACUUAAAACAAAUGAACUGUGAUGAUACGCUCUCGUAUUCUGAUGAAUCUUCAAAGAAAUGUGGAAAAGCUGAGGAUAAAGAUUCAAAGAGAAUGAGGAAGAAUAUCUUUAAAGAUGCUCCACCUAGGGAAAAGAGGGGUGUUGUGAACAAAUCAAAUGAAGGUGAAAGCAUCACUAAAGAAGACAGUGCCUUAACAUCACCUAAAGUAAAUCGUUCUGAGACUAGCACUCAUGAUGUUAUGCAGGUGUUCUUAGAAUCCUGCAAAAAUUAUUCACCUGUUAUAGAUAAAGGCAAGACUGGCAAUAGUGACAUCGCAACCAAUGAUUCGGAAUCUGCUUCAGGAUCAAAGGGUCAGAGUCGUAUUCCAGUAAGCAUGUCUCGAAAACAGCAAGCUGCAGACCACAAAGAAGAUCACCGUGUUCAAAGUGACAAUAAUUCAGCAAACAAACAAAACUUGACAUUAAUUAAAAAUGUCAUAGAUCAAAAGAAAGACAGAUCUUCUCAAGGAAAAGACAGCGAUUGCUCAAGCACCAAGGGACAACUAAAGGAUUCCAAGGUGAAAGACAGUGCAACAUCUGCCUCCAAGGCUGGAGAUAACCCUGGCUCCAAACAAAAGAAAAAUGGUUUCUUCUCCAAAAUCCCCCAGAGGAGUGACCAAUCUUUGAAAGGACAAGAAAGAAAGGACUCCAGUAAACAAGGAACUGAAAUGAAGCUGACAGGUCAAGACAGCAGUGAAUGUCUAGAAAAGGAGAAAUUAAAAGUUCGAUAUUCAGAGGAUUCUGUUGAGGAAAUAAAGCUGAGCAGAUCUUUUAUAGUUGGCAAUAAGAAAAAAAUCCAGGCUUCAAGCAAGGAUGACAUGGACACAGAACCAGCUCCACCACUGGAUGCAGGAGUCCAGCCGGUAAUUGAGAGUGACAUGUCAAACCUGUGAUUGAUGGCGAUGUGUCUAACCGUCUGAUCAUCAGGUGAUGCUCCCGACACCAGUCAGGAUGUGACACUGAUGAGUGAUGUGACUGUUGUUGUUUUGAAGGACAGGCAGAAACUGAACCCUGAGGAAAUCUCCAUCAGAGCUGGGAUGAAGAUCAAACAGAAGCGUGGAACAGAUAAGGAUGGC